AUCCUGCGGGCAAAAAACUCCUAGGCCUAUUAAUCCCAUCCUGAGGCUGCAGCCACAUCAUUAACAGAAUUAUUAUUCAUAAUCUUUUAUUUCAAAGGGUUUACAUCAUUCACCUGCAAUACUGUGGAGCUCCUUUUUAAUGACUCUUACUGGUUUGUGUCCAGGGAACCCUACACUAACAUUUAAAAAACGUUUCAGUCACACUCUUCUGACGGCGCCUAGCUAUACAGUGGCUUUACGAAUAUGCUACGUAUCAAUAAUGUUGCAAAGAAAACUGCCGUUUGCAAAAAACAUAAUGCGACAGAAAUAAUCUGCUGGGAUGUAGAGCAUGUCCACGAUGGGUGAUGUGAUGACGGAUAAGGUUAUGUAGGCUUCAUAACUGAUAGACUGGGAGGAAAAACAAUACAGCUCAAAUAGGUAGUGUAUUAUCUGGAAAUGAAAAUGCAUCUGUAGUCGGGGCGUCAAUAUCAUCUCCCGAGGUAUG